UUUUUUAUGGAGAGUUUGAUCCUGGCUCAGGACGAACGCUGGCGGCGUGCUUAACACAUGCAAGUCGAACGGAAAGGCCUAGCUUGCUAGGUACUCGAGUGGCGAACGGGUGAGUAACACGUGGGUGAUCUGCCUCGUACUUCGGGAUAAGCCUGGGAAACUGGGUCUAAUACUGGAUAGGACCAUGCUUUAGUGUGUGUGGUGGAAAGUUUUUUCGGUACGAGAUGAGCCCGCGGCCUAUCAGCUUGUUGGUGGGGUAAUGGCCUACCAAGGCGUCGACGGGUAGCCGGCCUGAGAGGGUGGACGGCCACAUUGGGACUGAGAUACGGCCCAGACUCCUACGGGAGGCAGCAGUGGGGAAUAUUGCACAAUGGGCGCAAGCCUGAUGCAGCGACGCCGCGUGGGGGAUGACGGCCUUCGGGUUGUAAACCUCUUUCGCUAGGGACGAAGCUUUUUGUGACGGUACCUAGAUAAGAAGCACCGGCUAACUACGUGCCAGCAGCCGCGGUAAUACGUAGGGUGCGAGCGUUGUCCGGAAUUACUGGGCGUAAAGAGCUCGUAGGUGGUUUGUCGCGUCGUCUGUGAAAUUCCGGGGCUUAACUUCGGGCGUGCAGGCGAUACGGGCAUAACUUGAGUGCUGUAGGGGAGACUGGAAUUCCUGGUGUAGCGGUGGAAUGCGCAGAUAUCAGGAGGAACACCGAUGGCGAAGGCAGGUCUCUGGGCAGUAACUGACGCUGAGGAGCGAAAGCAUGGGGAGCGAACAGGAUUAGAUACCCUGGUAGUCCAUGCCGUAAACGGUGGGCGCUAGGUGUGAGGGUCUUCCACGACUUUCGUGCCGUAGCUAACGCAUUAAGCGCCCCGCCUGGGGAGUACGGCCGCAAGGCUAAAACUCAAAGGAAUUGACGGGGGCCCGCACAAGCGGCGGAGCAUGUGGAUUAAUUCGAUGCAACGCGAAGAACCUUACCUGGGCUUGACAUAUGCAGGAUCGGCGUAGAGAUACGUUUUCCCUUGUGGUCUGUACGGGGUUAACUCGGAGGAAGGUGGGGAUGACGUCAAAUCAUCAUGCCCCUUAUGUCCAGGGCUUCACACAUGCUACAAUGGUCGGUACAACGCGCUGCGAGCCUGUGAGGGUGAGCGAAUCGCUGAAAGCCGGCCUCAGUUCGGAUUGGGGUCUGCAACUCGACCCCAUGAAGUCGGAGUCGCUAGUAAUCGCAGAUCAGCAACGCUGCGGUGAAUACGUUCCCGGGCCUUGUACACACCGCCCGUCACGUCAUGAAAGUUGGUAACACCCGAAGCCAGUGGCCUAACCCUUGUGGGGGGAGCUGUCGAAGGUGGGAUCGGCGAUUGGGACGAAGUCGUAACAAGGUAGCCGUACCGGAAGGUGCGGCUGGAUCACCUCCUUUCUAAGGAG
rnacentral:rRNA from 1 species